CACGUAGGGCGCAAGCGUUGUCCGGAAUUAUUGGGCGUAAAGAGCUCGUAGGCGGACUGUCACGUCUGCUGUGAAAGCUAAGGGCUUAACCCUGGCCUUGCAGUGGAUACGGGCAGACUAGAGGGUAGGUAGGGGAGAAUGAAUUCCCGGUGGUAGCGGUGAAAUGCGCAGAUAUCGGGAGGAACACCGGUGGCGAAGGCGGUUCUCUGGGCCUUACCUGAC
rnacentral:rRNA from 1 species